UAUUGAGCAAUGGGGGAAACCCUGACCCAGCAACGCCGCGUGAAGGAAGAAGGUCUUCGGAUUGUAAACUUCUUUGAUCAGGGACGAAGAAAUGACUGUACCUGAAGAACAAGUCACGGCUAACUACGUGCCAGCAGCCGCGGUAAUACGUAGGUGGCAAGCGUUAUCCGGAUUUACUGGGUGUAAAGGGCGUGUAGGCGGGUCUGCAAGUCAGAUGUGAAAUCUCCGGGCUUAACUCGGAAGUGUCAUCUGAAACUACGGAUCUUGAGUACUGGAGAGGAUAGUGGAAUUCCUAGUGUAGCGGUAAAAUGCGUAGAUAUUAGGAGGAACACCAGUGGCGAAGGCGGCUAUCUGGACAGUAACUAACGCUGAGGCGCGAAAGCGUGGGGAGCAAACAGG
rnacentral:rRNA from 1 species